GGCACCAUGGCUCAGCUGGUUAAAGUGCCUGCCUAGUAAACAGGAGAUCCUGGGCUUGACUCCCAGUGGUGCCU
rfam:Mesitornis unicolor contig101221, whole genome shotgun sequence.